rnacentral:rRNA from 1 species
AUUGAACGCUGGCGGCAGGCCUAACACAUGCAAGUCGAGCGGCAGCGGGAAAGUAGCUUGCUACUUUUGCCGGCGAGCGGCGGACGGGUGAGUAAUGCCUGGGAAAUUGCCCAGUCGAGGGGGAUAACAGUUGGAAACGACUGCUAAUACCGCAUACGCCCUACGGGGGAAAGCAGGGGACCUUCGGGCCUUGCGCGAUUGGAUAUGCCCAGGUGGGAUUAGCUAGUUGGUGAGGUAAUGGCUCACCAAGGCGACGAUCCCUAGCUGGUCUGAGAGGAUGAUCAGCCACACUGGAACUGAGACACGGUCCAGACUCCUACGGGAGGCAGCAGUGGGGAAUAUUGCACAAUGGGGGAAACCCUGAUGCAGCCAUGCCGCGUGUGUGAAGAAGGCCUUCGGGUUGUAAGGCACUUUCAGCGAGGAGGAAAGGUUGAUGCCUAAUACGUAUCAACUGUGACGUUACUCGCAGAAGAAGCACCGGCUAACUCCGUGCCAGCAGCCGCUGUAAAAC